CUCCAAUAGCGUAUAUUAAAGUUGUUGCAGUUAAAAAGCUCGUAGUUGAAUUUCGGGAUCAAAUUGUCGGUCGUGCCUCGGUACGCACUGGCGUUAUUGGUUCCUCCCUUCUGAAGAACCGCGAUGUCAUUAAUUUGGUGUCGCGGGGAAUCAGGACUGUUACUUUGAAAAAAUUAGAGUGUUUAAAGCAAGCUCGCGCUUGAACACAUUAGCAUGGAAUAAUGAAAUAGGACGUUUGAUUCUAUUUUGUUGGUUUCUAGGAUCGACGUAAUGAUUAAUAGGGAUAGUUGGGGGCAUUAGUAUUCAAUUGUCAGAGGUGAAAUUCUUGGAUUUAUUGAAGACUAACUACUGCGAAAGCAUUUGCCAAGGAUGUUUUCAUUAAUCAAGAACGAAAGUUAGGGGAUCGAAGACGAUCAGAUACCGUCGUAGUCUUAACCAUAAACUAUGCCGACUAGGGAUCGGAUGAUGUUAAUUUUUUAAUGACUCAUUCGG
rnacentral:rRNA from 1 species